UACAGAGGUCUCAACCGUUGUUCGGAUUCAUUGGGCGUAAAGAGCGUGUAGGCGGCUCGAUAAGUCUGCUGUGAAAGUCCAGGGCUCAACCCUGGAAGGCCGGUGGAAACUGUCGGGCUAGAGUCCGGAAGAGGCGAGUGGAAUUCCCGGUGUAGCGGUGAAAUGCGCAGAUAUCGGGAGGAACACCAAUGGCGAAGGCAGCUCGCUGGGACGGUACUGACGCUGAGACGCGAAAGCGUGGGGAGCAAACAGG
rnacentral:rRNA from 1 species